rnacentral:rRNA from 1 species
UACGUAGGGUGCUAGCGUUGUUCGGAAUCAUUGGGCGUAAAGCGCGUGUAGGCGGUUAGUUAAGUCGGGUGUGAAAUCCCUGGGCUCAACCGAGGAAGUGCAUCCGAAACUAACUAGCUGGAGAAUGGUAGAGGAAGGUGGAAUUCCUAGUGUAGCGGUGGAAUGCGCAGAUAUCAGGAAGAACACCAACGGCGAAGGCAGCUCGCUGGGACGGUACUGACGCUGAGACGCGAAAGCGUGGGGAGCGAACAGG